CUGUUCUGCGCAUGUGUCCUAGGAUUUUGCAAUUAAUUUGCCUACUUCCCCAACUGUCUGCCGCGCCCUAAAGUCCUGCCUCAGUGAUUAGCUGUUAGGAGCUGGUCCCAGUUCUGCCCUUCCUAGCCGUGUGUCCUUGGACAAGUUGCUUUCAAGGCAUGGUCAAAAAAUAAGGGCCCUGUUGCUCAUGACCAACAGGUAAAUUCUCAGGCCAAGGCCAAUGUCUCAAGAAAGAAAAUGUGCACUCUUCACGUCUUGGAAAAACUCUAAAUUCAACAGUUCAACAAAUAUUUAUUCUCUGUGUAUUGGGAAAGUCACUCCACCAGACAAAGCAUAUGGUAUGGAAGAGGACUUCUCCUCAGAGAAUAAAAAGAUGGAGACUUUGCUAAGCUGAUAACAGAACAAAAUGAGACAACGGUCAGUAGGGGGAAGCAGUAAGAACAAGAGACAAGUUUGUUGGACUUAUAGCUACUUCUCUAGAUCUGAACAAAUAACGCAGAGGAAGCAAAUGAAAACACCAGGAAGGACCAGCAGGUAAAAGAAAUGAGCAAGAGCCAUCGCCAUGCGAUAGGGACUUGUUGAGCCAGGACACACACACCUGUUGCUUA
rnacentral:lncRNA from 1 species